CCUACGGGAGACAGCAGUAGGGAAUAUUGCUCAAUGGGGGAAACCCUGAAGCAGCAACGCCGCGUGGAGGAUGAAGGUUUUCGGAUUGUAAACUCCUUUUGUUAGAGAAGAUAAUGACGGUAUCUAACGAAUAAGCACCGGCUAACUCCGUGCCAGCAGCCGCGGUAAUACGGAGGGUGCAAGCGUUACUCGGAAUCACUGGGCGUAAAGAGCGCGUAGGCGGGAUAGCCAGUCAGAUGUGAAAUCCUAUGGAUUAACCAUAGAACUGCAUUUGAAACUGUUAUUCUAGAGUAUGGGAGAGGUAGGGGGAAUUUAUAGUGGAGGAGUGAAAGCCGGAGAUAUUAGAAGGAACAACAAUAGCGGAGGCAGGUUACUGGGACGGUUCUGACACUAAGGCACGAAAGCGUAGGGAGCAAACGGGAUUAGAUACCCGGGUAGUC
rnacentral:rRNA from 1 species